AAGAGGCAGAGAGAUGCCCGGAGCAGGGCAGGGGUCUUGGGCUGCUUCCCCUGUACACUCAAAAACUGCCUGGGUCUAGGCAGGCUCCUGUGGCUUGAGGCCUCCUAGCACAUUCUUUCUGGGAACUUGGGGUGGUGGCCUCUGCCCUGGGUAGAGGGCUCCAGAAAGAGGGGCUGGCAGAGAGUGAUGUGAUCAGUCCCAGCGAGCCAAGGAGGGGUUCCUGACAGAGGGCUGAGGGUCUUCAUGUGAGCCCCAGGGCCAGGGCGCUGAAUUGCAGGCCUGUGCACAGGGACGCGGGAAUGCGGUUUGGCCCAGCUGGGCUGGGAAGCGGCCUUCACCGAGGGUGACGCCCUGGUUCGGGGCUCUGCAGCAGACCUCACGCAUCUAUAAAUAGCCAAGUGAUAAUAAGAACCAUUUCCUGGAUGGAAAUAAGACUUGGGGUAGGGUGGUGAGGGGGGCAGGUUGGGAGGGAGGUCAGUAUUGUUCUUAACCAUCCUCUUUCCUUCUUUACUUUUCCACUGUGCUAACAGGAACAUUUACAUAAGUUUGCCUCUGCCAGGAGCCCAUCCGGCUGAUCAGCUGUGGUGUGGAGGGCAGCGAGGAGGCCUGAACUCCUAAUUAGGCCCUCUGACUGCCCCCCCUCCCUGCUCCUGGGGUGCUCCUGUGCUUCAGAAUGAUGAUUAAUGACAUAUUUACUGUGUCCGGGCAUGUGCUUUUCUGGAAAAUAAAAAUUCUGGUUCAAGUUGUUUGUUCCACCUAAUUAGAGAAAAGGGAGAUGUGUUCAUUAAGUGAGGGCGGAGACUGCGGGUGAGGAGAAGGCAGCACCGUGCUGGCUCCCGUGGGGGCCCUGGGCACCUUGCCCUGGCCCCCAGCCUCUGGGCCCCCAGCCGGGCCAGGACUGCAGGCUGGAGGAUGUUCACAGGCAGGGAGGCUGAGCAGGGCCAGGAGGCUGCAGCGUACAAGGCGAACAGCUGGGUUUUGGGGCUGCCGUGGCCUCAGCUGGGCAGUGGAGAGCCAGGCUGCACUCCAGCAGAUGGGAGGCCUGGUGAAGCCUGCGUCGGGGACCACAGGAUCGGCAUCCUUACAAGAAGAGGAAGAGACACCAGGGAUUCCUCCCUCUCUGCGUGCACAGAGGAAAGGAUAUAUGAGGACACAGCCAGAAGGAGGCCAUCUGUAAGCCUCACCAGAAACCAACCCUGCUGGCCCCUUGAUCUUGGACUUCUAGCCUCCACAGCUGUGAGAAAU